rnacentral:rRNA from 1 species
UUAACGGAGAGUUUGAUCCUGGCUCAGGACGAACGCUGGCGGCGUGCCUAAUACAUGCAAGUCGAGCGGA